UACGUAGGGACCAAGCGUUGUUCGGAUUUACUGGGCGUAAAGGGCGCGUAGGCGGCAAUUCAAGUCAGUUGUGAAAUCUCCGAGCUUAACUCGGAACGGUCAACUGAUACUGCUUUGCUAGAGUACAGAAGGGGCAAUCGGAAUUCUUGGUGUAGCGGUGAAAUGCGUAGAUAUCGGGAGGAACACCUGUGGCGAAAGCGGCUCACUGGACCACAACUGACGCUGAGGCGCGAAAGCUAGGGGAGCAAACAGG
rnacentral:rRNA from 1 species